CUACAGUGUUUAUUGUAUGUUAUUGGUCCUGGAAUCGUGCAAACAUCCGGCCUGGAAAGAGAAAAUAGAAACUCUCUCCCCCUAACCCUAAUACGGCGUAAACUAACCCACGAAGAUUGUCUCUCAUCUUCAUGCGGCGGGAGGCGGUGACGUUUGCGCUUCUUCUCAUGACUGUCUGAAAGGCGGUGUGUGUUCAGUAUAAAUAUGUGAGCAAUCCUCAUCUUGGACUCAUCUUCUCUUUCAAUUCUCUGAAAGUAUCUCAGGUUAAGCGAGGCGGCGAGGGUCGACACAUCCUCAUCUUGGACAUACCUUGUAUUUAUGAUUUGGAUAUGUGUUGUUGAUGAGAGACCGACGAAGCUGUUUUGAUUACCAGUAUCCAGUUUCAAAGGCUCGGUUACACUAGAAGAAGAAGUUCCCACAACGCUUACAAAUACAUCGAUUUGUGAGAAUAAUCUUACGUCCCAAGUUUUUUAAAACUAUAAACUGAUUCUUCCAAUGGCGUUCUCACGAGACAAGCCAAGAAAGAUGACUGUUAGUUAAAUACUUGGCAAGUUUCUAUCGAAUUUUCUUAUUCAUUUUUUGUUUAAUUCGUGAGUUGUUUUAAAUUCAAAUUUCUUACUUCAUUUUGAUUGCGUUGAUUGUAAAUUAAAAAACAAGCAAGAUAGGAUACUCGGGGAGGUCAGGAAUGAGAAAGUUGAGCGAUGAUGAAGAGAUGGAUGAGAUUGGGAUUGAGGUUUCAAGGUUGAAUUAUGAGUCUGAUGAGUUGAACAAGAGCAGUAAGACUACUAAGAGUGUUCAAAAUGGAGGAGGUAAUGUAAGAAGGGAAUGCCUGCUAAGAAUCCGAUGGCUGAGAGGAGGAGGAGGAGGAGGGUGAUAGGCUUUAUAUGCUUAGAUCAGUUGGCCCCAAGAUCAGCAAAAUAAACAAUUACUUCUCUCUUAUCUCCUCAAGGGCUUCGUCUUCAUCAUUUACUUAUCGCCGUUAGAGUUCGAUAGAUUCUGUGUUGUGUUUGUUGCGAUGAAAUUUCAUUAACAACCACAUACAUUAUGCAUUAAACCUCAGACUUCGGUUCAUGUCAAUUUCAAAGAUACCACAUGCAGCUGUUUAUUAGCUUUCCAAAAAGUGUUAUUCACAUACCCA